UAUGCUGCAGUUUUGUGAAACAGAUGUGCACAGCCCAGCCAGCCCAGCAGCAGUAAAGAAGCUGAUUAGAACUGGGAGCUCUCUAAUACUUUGCUUCAAGAGACUGUUACUGUAAACCUCCCAGAGAGCUUCGGCUGUUGAUGGACUUUUUGAUGAACUUUGCCUGGUUAAAAAGUUUGUGCCUGAGGUCAGAACAUCUGAUCUUCCUCUGGAUGAGAAAUGGGUGCAGUUGCUAAAGAGCAUCAGAUCAAGAAUUCUGGUGAAGGUUGUCAGUGCAGUGUUUGCCAUCCCAGUGUGAUGCCUUAUACAGAGGAACAACCCAGUGACGAAACCGACUCUGUUAUCCCCAAACCCCGGGGUAAUCGAGCUCAACACAUGAGCCACAUCUUCCUUGCCAUGUGUGUCUUCUUCCUGUACCUCACUGAACCAAGUCUAGACCAUGUCCUCCAAUGCAUUGUCAUCCAUUUCACAGCCCUGCAGGUUGGAGCACUGUGCAAGGGGAUCUGCAACUUUGCAGAAGAAUUCCAUCAUGUGACAUCCAGGUAUCAUGGGAACUACUUAAGGGCCCUGAGUGCCUGCCUAGAAUUAAACAGGCCUGCUUUGCUCUUUCUGGGCCUGUGUGGAGUAGCCUACUUGUUGCUCCCUGGAGAAGAAACUGGGCUUCGACUGUGUUGGAACUUGAUCCCUAUGUGCCUCUGCCAGCUUUUAAGCAUCAUCUUUGGCCUUCAGCGUCCCUCAGCCGCAGAGAUUUCUGAAAUGUAUGAAAAAAACAACUGCAAUGUAGCACAAGGACUUGCCUGGUCGUACUACACUGGGUAUUUAAAAAUCAUUUUGCCUUGCCUCAAAGAUUCAAUUAGAGAUUUCAACAGAGCUAAUAACUGUCAGCUGAAUUGUGAGAAGACCUGGAAAUUACACAUAUUGAUUCCUCUAAGCUGUGAUGUAUCUGAUGACCUGCAGAAGGUUGACAGUCAUCUUCACUUCAUAAAGAAUCUCCCCAAACUGAAUGUGGAUCGAGCUGGCAUUAAAAGAAGAAGCUACAAAAAUAGCGUCUAUCGGAUAAUAGGUGAAAACCAAGAGAUUAAUUAUUGUGUUGUGGAGUAUGCCACCCCUCUGCAGUCCCUUUAUGCCAUGUCCCAAGAUGAAAACGCUGCCUUUAGCCGUCAAGACCGUUUGGAACAAGCCAAACUUUUUUGCAGGGCACUGGAAGAAAUCUUACAGAGAUGUAAAGAUUGUUCUGGUUGCUACCGGCUCAUUGUGUAUGAUGAUUCAGAAGCAAAUGACAAGCACUUUCUGUCCAAGGCCAUCCUACAACACAUAAAGCAGCAGCACCAGGAGGAGUAUACCGUGGAUGAAAGGGAUCGAGACCACACCGGCUCACAGAACUUGGAAUCUACUGAAGUCGAUCUCCUGAUAAGCGGCUCAGAUCAACCCAUGUCUUUGCAUAGUGAUGGCUACUGAAAUAGACUGGCCACCUUACCUGUUCAUCUUCAUGUCCCUGCUCCUGGAAAUCACCAGGACUGCUUCCAGAGAAUAAAACCUAACAGUACCAAAUCUUAACCUGUGAAGCCAGACCCCAGCAAGACCUAAAAACCCUUCUACAGAAUAUGAAAGUGUCAGCAGAAAUGGAGGCAGAGGCAGCAUCAGUACCUUAUGGGUACGGAGACAUGAUGGGAUAAGACAAACCCAUGCAAGACAGCAAUCUGAGAAUAUACGAUUGUAAUGGAAACCCACCAUUAUCUCCUUAUUGGUUCUGCAAGAGAAACACAGGACAGAAACCUUCCUUUUUGCUCUUGCCACAAGCUGACUCUCUCAGCCACUUUGUAUGGGUAGUGUGAUGGCUCUGGAGGGCUUUUUCUUUUUGGUAGACCCUUUUUUAUACAAGAAGAGUUCUCCCCCCUAAAAAAACCCCACAGUCACAAUGGGCUGCCACCAGACAGGACAAACCUUCUGCCUGCCCCUGAUCUGUUCAGGUGCUUGAGGAGUUUCCACACUCUAUUGACCAGGACCCCUCCCUUCAGCCUUCCCUAGGGUGGGAAAUAAACCAGGAGAAGAGCUUUGGGUUUACUUUCCCAAAGCCUAGGAGACACAGAACAACAAAACCUUGUGAAAUAUCCUAAUCCCCAAAGGGGACAAUAUUAACAAUCGAGCAGUCAACACAUGGGGAAGGUUUUAUGAGGAAUUACUUUUUAAACUAAUUAAGUCAACUGUCUAAAUAUAAAAUGAAGCUUAUUUGGAGAAACAAGUGAAAUAAGGGAAAGGGAAGACAACACACAUAGAGGCUUCCAAAUAAAAUUAAUAAAUUCAGUUUAACUUAGCCAGCUACAUAUUACUUGCUUGAGCAGAUCCUUGGUUUUCAGAGCCUGUGCAAAGUUCAUUGCAAAAGAGGCUCUGAGAAAAAGCAUCUCUGGACUCAUCAGAUAUUUCCAAGAAGACAAAGACUGAAAAUCUUACAUAUUUAUGGAAGACUGAGACCCCUAAAAUUUCUUAAUGGAGAUGAGUUGUUGUUGGCCCAGUGAAGACAGAUGCUUCACCUAUGGCAUCAGUGGUCUAUGUACUCAAUCAGAAAUUUAUUUAGAGGCUAGCUCUACCUCAAAAAGAUUCUGAACCUUACAUUACAUAAGGUCUGGCCAGUUCUAAGAACUCUGAGGGCAGAAUGUUCAUUUGAACCUCCCCCCACCUCACUGUUCCAUGUGUCAAUGUCGUUCCACCCCCAGCUACAAAAAAUACUCCAGAAAUAUGCAUAUAAUCCUUAAAAAACUAUAUUUUACAUUAGAAGCAGAAUGUUAAGAUUUUAUGUCUAAAAUACAAAUACAAAAACAAUAUUGAAUUCACUUGGAAGGAAUAGGAUCCUCUUAUCGUUUUUACCAACAAAUAUAAACAUCAAUAAAGUUAAAGAAGAUUUUUAUGCACAAUGACAAACUACGUUCAAAUUUUUGUAGACGUUUCAUUGUUGUAAAAGUUGUAUCUUCUUUUUUCUACUCUUCUUGACACAAAUUCAGAUAUGAGAUCAUCGGAAGACAUUUCUCGUAGAAGAUUGCAUUCUAUAUAGUCUGCAUUCAGGGGUGAAGAACCACUUUUGUCUAGCGGGCCAGAUCCAAAAGUGGCCACUCUUCUGCAGGCCACUUUUGACAGGUGAGUGGGUUCACCCACCUGUCAAUCACUUGAAGCCUUAUGAAUUUAAACAGCACUGAAUGCAAGCUCUGCAUUGCUCCUGAUUGUCCUUUGGCAGCCACAGCUGUUCCAGACAAGCUUUACAUGUCAUGUCCUACAUGACAUCAGGUGAGUGACUGGUGAGUGUGAAUGGCAGAAAAUAGCCACAUGGGUCAAAUUGGCUGGCCUAAUAUGGUUCACGUGCCUGAGGUUCCUCACCCCUGCUGAAAAGAGAACAGGUAGUGAUUAUAGUCUUGACUACAGUAUUGGUGACUAUAAUUAAUUUUUAAUACAAAAUAAUUUGGAGAAUUCUCUUUCUGCUUCAGAAUUUGAAAAUGGCAGAGUGAGAUGAAGUUAAAAAGCUAUGGUAACAUCUGGAAAAGCUGCUUUCAGGUCCUAACUGUAAAUUAUCUUCAAACUACUAUGUUCAGUUGUCUCAGACUGCUCCCUCUGCAGUAUCUAAGAAGCAAAUGAAAUACUUUAGCUCAGUGGACAGAGAAAUUUGAAUAACUCUUGGUUAAGCUCUCUUACUAAUGCUUCUGAGUCUGUUUCCGGUAUAUCAUGAUUAUGGGAAGAAUGGUCUAGUUAUGCCAGGAAUCCAGAUAAAUUCACAACUUCUGUGGAAGCACAGGAGCAUGUCUCCAGUUCUAUCUGAAGUUUAUCUAAUAUACUAUAGUAUGUUUCCACUCUGAAUUUGUCUUUUUCCAUCUGGGAAAGUUUAUUUGUGUCCUCAUGCUGUUGAUCUUUCAACUGAAUAUGACUAAUUUCUUUCCCUAUUCUCCAGUUUCUUCAGUAUUAUGGACAAAGAUGAUGAGAAAAGAAAACAACAUUUCCCCUGCCAUAAUAUCAAGGCCUGUUUUUGUAGGGUAUAAUCAAAUCUAUGUAGGACUUCAUGCUUGAAAGCUGCCAUAGAAGAUAUUUUAAAUAUUUUCAGGUUUACCGGCCAAUCAGAAUCUGGCAACGGGUGGGGUUGUCUUUGUGAGAGAAUGUCUGUGUAUGUGUGUAAGAGAAAACAUUUGGGUGUAGCGUAACAGAGGCUGGAUCCACGCUAGGGAUGGGAGAGAGAUUUGAUUCAGUUCUAUUUAAAGCUGAAUCGAUCCAAUUUGUACUUUUUGAAAUAACAUGAGAACUGAAACACAGCCAUCCUUUGAAAUUCACACUUAUCUAAAUUUU